rnacentral:misc_RNA from 1 species
UCGGUUUUCCCGGUUGAGUAAACGACCGCACCCGCUCGUGUCUCGGCUUGGCCGGCUUGGGGUCGCUGAAUGGUUUGCUGUGCUCGCACGGCAGGCUGUACCCUGGUUCCAGAGCCGACCAAGACCGAGAUGGUGCAUAUGGUCUGUAGCGUCCGAGUCAGCCAACCACCCGACCCGUCUUGAAACACGGACCAAGGAGUCUAACAUGUGCGCAAGUCAUUGGGUUGUCUAAACCUAAAGGCGCAAUGAAAGUGAAAGUUAGCUUCAGCUAGCUUAGGUGGGAUCCCUGGCUUGUCCAGGGCGCACCACCGUCCCAUCGCAUCUGCUUGUCAGAGCGGUGGAGAAAGAGCGCACACGUUGGGACCCGAAAGAUGGUGAACUAUGCCUGAGCAGGAUGAAGCCAGAGGAAACUCUGGUGGAGGUCCGUAGCGGUUCUGACGUGCAAAUCGAUCGUCAGACUUGGGUAUAGGGGCGAAAGACUAAUCGAACCAUCUAGUAGCUGGUUCCCUC